AUGUUGUUGCAAGCUUUUGUGCUGUACGGGCUGUGUCGUGUAGCUGAAAAGCAUCUAAAGUUGUUUAGCGUAGAAAUUCAUUCUCGAGUUAUUGGAAAUUGUUGGACGACUGGAUUCGUGCCAGAAAAUAAACUAAUGAAACAAACGAGAGCAGCUACAAAGAAUAAAAUCAAGAAUAACGAGGAUUCGAUGACCAAAACGCAAACGAUGCCGGCAGCAUCGGAAAAACCAAAAUUGAGUCUCAAGUCCUUACAAAACGAGUACGACACGGUGGAUGCUGAAAUCACCACAUUUUCUACAAGAUCCAAAAAAUCUCAGAAAGAACCUCAUAACGAAGGAGAGACUCAUAAUGAAAGAAUAAAAAAAGAGGAGAAUUUGAAGCUAAACGCGAGUUCCAGUAAAGGAAAACUAAGAGCAGUUGUGGAUUUGCAGAUGAUGAAAGCAGAAUUAAGUCAACUAGAAGAUCCUCCUAUUACACCCUGGGAAAAAAAAUUGUCUUCUAACCGAUUGCAGUAUGAAUUCUUUGAUAUUCCUUGCGAAGAGCUCGCACAACGUUUAUUAGGAAAAAUAUUGGUGAGGUAUUUGGAGAAUGGAACUAUUCUCAAGGGUAGAAUUGUAGAAACUGAGGCAUAUUUAGAUGCAAUUGACAAGGCGUCGCAAUCAUAUCAAAACAAAGUCACCCCUCGCAACCUACCGAUGUUUAUGCCACCGGGGACCAUUUACAUUUACAUGACAUACGGCAUGUACCAUUGUUUCAACAUUUCUAGCCAAGAGGAAAAUGCGCAUGUAUUAAUCAAAGCGGUGGAACCGUUAAUUGGCCUCGAAUAUAUGGAAUUGCUAAGAAAUAUGCGGCGCAAGGAUAACGGAAGAGAGAAACAAAUUGCGAAAUGUACGACACGUCUAAAGCAAUACGAGCUUUGCAAUAAUUCAUCCAAGAUUUGCGACGCGUUUGCGCUCGACCAAGACACUUUCAACCAGAAGCUUGCUUAUGCGUGUAAUAAUCUGUGGCUCGAAAGUCAACCUUUUGUGAAGUCUCCCACUAUAGUAGCCGUACCACCUGAAUAUUCUAAAUCGAACGUUAACUAUUCUGUAAAGACGCGAUAUUAUGUACUGGGCAGCGCUAGCGUCUACGAAAAAAAUUCUGAUUGCGAGAAACACGCAUACAUCUUAAUUCUUACAUUUGUAGUUUUGAAAGGUCAUCACUUCACUGUUAAUAAGGUCUUAGAUGACGGAUGCGCUGUGCUGUUGGGAGCGGUCGAUCCCCUAGAAGGUAUGGAAUAUAUGGCUGAUCAACAUCGAAGACAAGGAAAGCCAAUCUAAAACCGCACGAAUUAUGCAAUGGCCCCUCAAAGCUCUGCAUGGCAUAUCAGCUUAAUAAGCAGCACAGCAUUCUCUUUGCACAUUGAAAAAUUUGUAGAUUGAGGACGACGGUGCAUUGAGAGAUGUUAAGGUCGUCAAGUUUACCACAAUCGGAAUCGACAGCUGCGGUCUGGAAUGGGCUAAUAAGCUUUUGCGCUAUUAUAUUUAUGACAAUAAAUCCGUCAGCAAAAGAGACAAAAAAGUAGAAAUAAAAAUGUCUUAACUGCGUGAAGUUGAUUAUUUUAUUGAAUAUAUUCUGUAUACUUUUACAUAAGAAAGCUAAUUUAUUAUUACAUAUAAGAACAUUCUUUAUAUAUCUGAAACGUUGUAAAAUAAAAAAUCAAUUAUUUGAAAUACUGAGUUGUUAUUUUAUACCCAGUCAGAAAUAGUUCCUUGAAACAAUGUCGUCUCGACAUCGUUAAGAUUGAUUCGAAACUUACGUCAAAAUUAUAACAUUUUUGAGUAACCAAAAAUU